UGAGUUAUUAUGAAGUAGUUAGAAUAUGUAGUGUAGCGGUGAAAUGCAUAGAUAUUACAUAGAAUACCAAUUGCGAAGGCAGAUUACUAAUAAUCAACUGACACUGAUGGACGAAAGCGUGGGUAGCGAACAGGAUUAGAUACCCUGGUAGUCCACGCCGUAAACGAUGGUUACUAGCUGUUUGGACCUUGUGUCUGAGUGGCUAAGCGAAAGUGAUAAGUAACCCACCUGGGGAGUACGUUCGCAAGAAUGAAACUCAAAGGAAUUGACGGGGGCCCGCACAAGCGGUGGAGCAUGUGGUUUAAUUCGAUGAUACGCGAGGAACCUUACCAGGGCUUAAAUGUAAGUUGCAUUAGUUAGAGAUAGCUAUUUCUUCGGACCACUUACAAGGUGCUGCAUGGUUGUCGUCAGCUCGUGCCGUGAGGUGUCAGGUUAAGUCCUAUAACGAGCGCAACCCCUGUUGUUAGUUGCCAGCGAGUCAUGUCGGGAACUCUAACAAGACUGCCAGUGCAAACUGUGAGGAAGGUGGGGAUGACGUCAAAUCAUCACGGCCCUUACGUCCUGGGCUACACACGUGCUACAAUGGUCGGUACAGAGAGCAGCCACUACGCGAGUAGGAGCGAAUCUUAAAAGCCGAUCACAGUUCGGAUCGGAGUCUGCAACUCGACU
rnacentral:rRNA from 1 species